CGAGGUUAAUCGCUGCCACAAUCCCCACCUACAAUCCCUACCGAUGUAGGGUUAGCGCGGUGCUCACGGGAAGCUUCACCACCUCGCCCACUCUCCGCCAUCGCCGUGCGCCCCAGCACCACGAGGGCCUCCGGCUCGAGUUCAUCCACUGCCGGACAAGGUAGGUUCACCGGAUCUACUAGCCUACUCGAAUCCAAAGUUCUAUCAGGCCGCUCCCCUCGAUCCCCUCCAUCGCCUCCGCCGCCGCCGAGGUACGAGAUCGCCUCCAUCUUGUUCCUUCCCUGGCCAUGCCCCUCCCAAUUUCUUCCCCUCAUCCAGCUAGGGUUCUCACCCGCCGCCGCUUCCCUGCUGCUACCCGCCACCGGAUGCCCUCCACGGACACCACCACCAUGAUGGCAGAAGGAAGAGCAAGAGGGGUCGUCGAGGAUGGGUGCCGUCAUGAGGAUGCUGGCGCCCGUGUGCGGUGAUGGCAUUGUGGCGGAAGAAGGUCUUCUUCCUGGGGAGCCGCUACCAGCCUCCGUCUCCACCCACGGCCACGCUAACAAGACAGGUUCAGGUUCGAUAUGUCAGGGCUGAAGUACGCUCCUGAGUUAAAGAAAGACCUCGAGAGACUCUGUAGAGUAUUUGUGAUGUAUCCUUCACUUACCAUGCCACGGGGUUGUCGCGGAUAUUGGUGGAGGACUUGGUGGACUAGCGCAAAAUGGAAAUCUAGAAAGAAGUGAAACUAAUCAGCUAUGGUUUUCCUGGAGUAUUUGUGCAACCAGCAGGUCGCCCAUGAGAAAUAUGAUGUUCUUUAUGCAUUUAAAAAACUACUAAAGGGAAAGUUGUGAAUGUUGUAUUGCAGAGCGUAUGUGUCAGAGGCCAGUCGGCAGAGGUGCAUGCAGGUUUGUGCUUGAGGGUGCACGCGAGUCGGCGGCUACAGGCAGAGGGUGCGGCCUGUGUGUGCGUGUUGUGGACAGUGUUGUGGUCGCCUGAUUUGAUUGUAAAUCGUGUAGAGCAAAGGCGGCUUCUGUGGCGCUGGAGCAACAAUUUCAGUGAGCACAUUGACUUGAUGCAGGGAGGGCCGUCGAAGAGAAGGACGGCGGCCCGGCCUACACAUGAUGGAACACACAUUGCCGACGAUGCGGUACCAGGCCUGGAGAAGAGAUCCCGAGUUUCCAUUCUUCUGCAACGACAGGGAGUAUGUUAUCGGUCGCAGGGUCUAGGCAUAUGGAAAGACGUACUAUUGCGCUAAUAAGGUGUUUGAUGAAAUGCCCUCCGUCCGAAAAUACUUGUCAUCAAAAUGAAUAAAAGGAGAUCACAAUGUUGGACACGACCACCUAAGAAUUGAAUAUUUUUAGUUGGAAUACUAUUUUAAUGAUCAAUCACAAUGUUGGACGCGACCACCUACUUAUUCCCGAGACUUUAAGUCUUUGGUGGCUUAAGCACAAUAUGCCCGGCAUAUGUUCUACAUCUGCGGCAUGUAAUGACCCUACUGGCAUUUCAAGAGGUCUGUAAAUACAACACUCUUCCAAAGUAUUUCCAAGAUUUACUAUAUUUUUGCAGCAGGCUACAUGCUUCUCUGAAUGACCAUUUAAGGAGUGAACAUGAACUGCUGAUGUAUAUGUUCCAUGCUCCAUGGGGAGGGAACAAGGAUUGAUUUUCGCCCGGAGUAGGAAGAGUAUGGUGACUUACUUCUAUGCUUUAAGGGGCUUCCAGAACUACUUGAUUGUGAAACAAGUCACUAGAAGCACAAACACAAAUGGACACUCUGCAGUUGUAUCAGACACACCACCACAAGACCUGCUGUGUGCGUCACAAUUCUUAGCAGCGACCGUUACGACCGUGCAAUGCCAAGAUUGCUAGCGACAAGGAUUUGAGGAGGACAAGACGGUAGCUAUCGACAAGGAUUCAAGAAGGACCAGAUGCCACGGUGGUGGUUGUAAUAUUAGUUGAGACGAAUCUGAAAAAAUUGAGUCGAGAUGUGGAGAUAUGAUGGAUUUUGAAAAAAAAAUCCAGUAAAUUUUUGCUACAGAGAACAUAUCGGUGUGCAUGUACCGAUUGCACUUGCUUCAUGGCGCAAUACGUUUAUCCUGCUACGAAAAAUGUAUUAUUUUUUAUUAAAGAAGGGGGGUUUCAAGGCAGAGAUAGUGAGUAGAAGAAAAGUUAUCUACCAUAAAAGACGACAAUGUCACAUGACAUGCACUGAUUGCAUUUGCUUUAGGAAAAAGUCUAAAAAACCUUGAACUUAUAGACGAAAGCUAAAUCAAACCCUGAACUUGCAAUCCCGGAAAUCAGCACACCGAACUUUCUGAUCCCGGUCUAUUUUGAACCUUGAGCCUGUUUAGCUGGUAUUCGCUGACGUGGCAAGUCAAAUUCUGGGCGUUGACCGGCUGGCAGGACAUUAAGACGAAUCGGGCCGGCCCA